UCUACCGUAAUUCCCGACGGUUCCUUGAGCUAGGGAUCAAAAGGGAAUGCGGUGCGGGGAAAUCUCCCCAAUUCCGCGGCUGCCCCCGCAACUGUAAGCGGUGAAUCUUUCGUCACAUGCCACUGGGAAUCUCGGUCCUGGGAAGGCGACGAAGGGUAUCGACCCGCAAGCCAGGAGACCUGCCGUCAGCCGUGGUCACAC
rnacentral:ncRNA from 1 species